AUUGAACGCUGGCGGCAUGCUUUACACAUGCAAGUCGAACGGCAGCGGGUCCUUCGGGAUGCCGGCGAGUGGCGAACGGGUGAGUAAUGCAUCGGAACGUACCGUGUAAUGGGGGAUAACGUAGCGAAAGUUAACGCUAAUACCGCAUACGCCCUGAGGGGGAAAGCGGGGAGUCGCAAGACCUCGCGUUAUACGAGCGACCGAUGUCGGAUUAGCUAGUUGGUGGGGUAAAGGCCCACCAAGGCGACGAUCCGUAGCGGGUCGUGAGAGGAUGAUCCGCCACACUGGGACUGAGACGCGGCCCAGACUCCUACGGGAGGCAGCAGUGGGGAAUUUUGGACAAUGGGCGCAAGCCUGAUCCAGCAAUGCCGCGUGUGUGAAGAAGGCCUGCGGGUUGUAAAGCACUUUCAGG
rnacentral:rRNA from 1 species